rnacentral:rRNA from 1 species
CAGCAGUGAGGGCUUGGGUGCUAAGGUCCAAGUCCGAGAGGGAAAGAACCCAGACUAACAGCUAAGGUCCCAAAAUCUAAUCUAAGUUGAACAAAGGAGGUUCAGUUGCAGAGACAGCCAGGAUGUUUGCUCGGAAGCAGCAAUUCAUUUAAAGAGUGCGUAACAGCUCACUGGUCGAGCGACAGAGCAUCGAUAAUAAACGGGCAUCAAGAAUAGUACCGAAGCUUUAGAUUUAUACUUUAGAAGUAUAAGUGGUAGGGGAGCAUUCUAAGGUCGGUGAAGGCGGGACGCGAGUCCUGCUGGAGAGCUUAGAAAAGCAAAUGUAGGAAUAAGUAACGAUAAAGCAGGUGAGAAUCCUGCUCACCGAUAGACUAAGGUUUCCUGAUCAACGUUCGUCGGAUCAGGGUUAGUCGGGACCUAAGGCGAACCCAUCGUAGUGGUGGGGCAGUCGAUGGACAACUGGUUAAUAUUCCAGUACUAAUGUAUACUGCUAUGGAGAGACGGAGUAGUGACAAGUUCGCGUGGUGACGGAAUACCACGUUAAAGCCAGUAGAUAUAUUUUGAGUAGGCAAAUCCGCUCGAAAUGUCGAAGGUGAUAGUACAACAAAGCUUCGGCCGCGUUGAUAGUAACUGUAAUCAGACUUCCAAGAAAAUCUUCUAUGCUUCAGGUAUACAUGACCCGUACCGCAAACCGACACAGGUAGUCAAGGAGAGAAUCCUGAGGUGCGCGAGUGAUUCACGGCUAAGGAACUCGGCAAAUUAACCCUGUAACUUCGGGAGAAGGGGUGCUUCCUCUAGCGAUAGAGAAGCCGCAGUGAAAAGUCUCAGGCGACUGUUUAACAAAAACACAUGGCUCUGCGAAAUCGAAAGAUAAAGUAUAGGGCCUGACACCUGCCCGGUGCCGGAAGGUUAAGAGGGGGGCUUAGCAGCAAUGCGACGGUCUGAAUCGAAGCCCCGGUAAACGGCGGCCGUAACUAUAACGGUCCUAAGGUAGCGAAAUUCCUUGUCGGGUAAGUUCCGACCUGCACGAAUGGUGUAACGAUCUGAGAACUGUCUCAGCCGUGAGCUCGGUGAAAUUGUAGUAGCGGUGAAGAUGCCGCUUACCCGUCACGGGACGGAAAGACCCCGUGCACCUUUACUAUAGCUUUGCAUUGAUUUUGGGUAAAUGAUGUGUAGGAUAGGUGGGAGGCUUUGAAGCGGGUACGCUAGUAUUCGUGGAGCCAACGUUGAAAUACCACCCUUUAUUUACUUGGAGUCUAACCCCUGAAUAGGGAAACAGUGCAUGGUGGGUAGUUUGACUGGGGUGGUCGCCUCCAAAAAAGUAUCGGAGGCUUCUAAAGGUUCCCUCAGUACGCUUGGUAACCGUACGUAGAGUGCAAUGGCAUAAGGGAGCUUGACUGUGAGACAAACAAGUCGAUCAGGUACGAAAGUAGAGCAUAGUGAUCCGGUGGUUCCGCAUGGAAGGGCCAUCGCUCAAAGGAUAAAAGGUACGCCGGGGAUAACAGGCUGAUC